GGAGUCUGGGCCGUGUCUCAGUCCCAAUGUGGCCGUUCUACCUCUCAGUACGGCUACCGAUCGUCGCUUUGGUGAGCCGUUACCUCACCAACUGGCUAAUCGGACGCGAGCCCAUCUUCAAGUGGUAAACCUUUGAUAGCAUCAUCAUGCGGUGACGCUAUGUUAUGAGGUAUUAGUGGUCGUUUCCAGCCAUUAUUCCUCGCUUGAAGGCAGGUUGCUCACGUGUUACUCACCCGUCCGCCACUAACUUGAAGGAGCAAGCUCCUCCUCGUCCGUUCGACUUGCAUGUGUUAAGCGUGCCGCCAGCGUUCGUCCUCGAGCCAUGAUCAAACUACU
rnacentral:rRNA from 1 species